rnacentral:piRNA from 1 species
UGAACAUUUCCUUUUCUUUGA